AGGACUUGGACCUUCUUCAAAACCAUCAACCACGUCUCCUUCAACCACAUCACCACCUACACCUUCCUCGCCCAAGAGCCCCAGCUGGCUGAGCCCUCGGAGCCGCAGCCGUAGCCGCGGCCGCCGUCAUCGCGGUUGAGUCCUUUGCCUCCCAACCCCGCCUCUGGCAGCCCUCUCUACAGCGAGAAUUGGCGAAACCCUAUCCCCAACGCGACGCUCGCUCAGUCCCUCAUCCCCCUGGGGUUCAUGCAGCCGGCGUCUUCCCGGAUCCAGGCGCUGUCGCAAACUCUGGAUGGGCAGAGCUUGUUGAAUGUGUUUGCCGAUUGGAUGACCUCGCAGCGGUGGGCUGAUAUGAAGCAGCUGUUUGAGUUUUGGAUUAGGUGAAGCCCUUCCCAAUUGUAAUCUCCCCAAACGCCUCCUUCCCCUCUCUAAACCCUAUCCCUGUUCAUCGCUGUGAAGUCUAAACCCUGAUUUCCCAAGCUCGUCUCUUUCGGGGUCAUCGCACGGUCAUCUCGGAUUAAGCAGUGAAAAGUUCGAUUUUGUUGGUUAUUUGACAUGAUCAGUUCGCGGCUCUGUGUGCGGGAGCUCCUGAGCAAAGACUAAUGGGACUUGCUUGUUUGUGUACCAUGGUUUGAUUGGAUUGAAGGGGUUUGAUUGGAUUGAAGGUGUCUAAGUGUUUGGGGGAGGUGUUUGAGGUUAGGGAUUUUGUAUGGUGCUCGAAUGAGAUGAAAUCAUGAGAGAGGGCAUGAGACACCACUCAGGGUCUUUACUCUGUUUAAGGGGGGUCUGUGAACUCGUAAGUAAGGUUGCUUGGCCAUUUUUAUUGUAUUUUCUUUGUAUUUUGGCAUCAUUUUAUUUUCUAGUAUAUUAGACUCUCUCUAAUUAAA